rnacentral:rRNA from 1 species
GACAGAGGGUGCAAACGUUGUUCGGAAUUACUGGGCGUAAAGCGUGUGUAGGCGGCUAUGUAAGUCGGAUGUGAAAGCCCUGGGCUCAACCCAGGAAGUGCACUCGAUACUGCGUAGCUUGAGUACCGGAGAGGUUGGUGGAAUUCUCGGUGUAGAGGUGAAAUUCGUAGAUAUCGAGAGGAACACCGGUGGCGAAGGCGGGUCUCUGGGCCGAUAUUGACGCUGAGGAGCGAAAGCGUGGGGAGCAAACAGG